rnacentral:rRNA from 1 species
CCUACGGGAGACAGCAGUGAGGAAUAUUGGUCAAUGGGCGAGAGCCUGAACCAGCCAAGUCGCGUGAAGGAUGAAGGCUCUACGGGUUGUAAACUUCUUUUGUCAGGGAGCAAUUGAGUCCACGUGUGGGCUUAGCGAGAGCACCUGAAGAAAAAGCAGCGGCUAAAUCCGUGCCAGCAGCCGCGGUAAUACGGAGGAUGCGAGCGUUACCCGGAUUUAUUGGGUUAAAAGGGUGCGUAGGCGGAAUAUCAAGUCAGCGGUAAAAAUUCGGGGCUCAACCCCGUCGUGCCGUUGAAACUGAUGUUAUUGAGUGGGCGAGAAGUAUGCGGAAUGCGUGGUGUAGCGGUGAAAUGCAUAGAUAUCACGCAGAACUCCGAGUGCGAAGGCAGCUCACUGGACUGCAACUGACACUGAGGCUCGAAAGUGUGGGUAUCAAACAGGAUUAGAUACCCCUGUAGUC